rnacentral:rRNA from 1 species
CCGACGGUGAGAGGCGAAAGCUAGGGGCACGAACCGGAUUAGAUACCCGGGUAGUCCUAGCCGUAAACGAUACUCGCUAGGUGUCGGCAACGGUGCGACCGUUGUCGGUGCCGUAGGGAAGCCGUGAAGCGAGCCACCUGGGAAGUACGGCCGCAAGGCUGAAACUUAAAGGAAUUGGCGGGGAGCACCACAACGGGUGGAGCUUGCGGUUUAAUUGGAUUCAACGCCGGAAAUCUUACCGGGACCGACAGCAAUAUGAAGGCCAGGCUGAAGACUUUGCCGGAUUAGCUGAGAGGUGGUGCAUGGCCGUCGUCAGUUCGUACUGUGAAGCAUCCUGUUAAGUCAGGCAACGAGCGAGACCCACGCCCACAGUUGCCA